rnacentral:rRNA from 1 species
GUUAUAUGGUCAAGUGAAGAAGCGCAUACGGUGGAUGCCUUGGCAGUCAGAGGCGAUGAAAGACGUGGUAGCCUGCGAAAAGCUUCGGGGAGUCGGCAAACAGACUGUGAUCCGGAGAUGUCUGAAUGGGGGAACCCAGCCAUCAUAAGAUGGUUAUCUUACACUGAAUACAUAGGUGUAAGAGGCGAACCAGGGGAACUGAAACAUCUAAGUACCCUGAGGAAAAGAAAUCAACCGAGAUUCCCUUAGUAGUGGCGAGCGAACGGGGACCAGCCCUUAAGUUGUAUUGAGAUUAGCGGAACGUUCUGGAAAGGACGGCCAUAGUGGGUGAUAGCCCUGUACGCGAAAAUCCCUUUGCAAUGAAAUCGAGUAGGACGGGGCACGAGAAACCUUGUCUGAAUAUGGGGGGACCAUCCUCCAAGGCUAAAUACUACUGACUGACCGAUAGUGAACCAGUACCGUGAGGGAAAGGCGAAAAGAACCGCGGAGAGCGGAGUGAAAUAGAUCCUGAAACCGUAUGCGUACAAGCAGUGGGAGCCCACUUUGUUGGGUGACUGCGUACCUUUUGUAUAAUGGGUCAGCGACUUAUUUUCAGUGGCGAGCUUAACCGAAUAGGGGAGGCGUAGCGAAAGCGAGUCUUAAUAGGGCGUCUAGUCGCUGGGAAUAGACCCGAAACCGGGCGAUCUAUCCAUGGGCAGGUUGAAGGUUGGGUAACACUAACUGGAGGACCGAACCGACUACCGUUGAAAAGUUAGCGGAUGACCUGUGGAUCGGAGUGAAAGGCUAAUCAAGCUCGGAGAUAGCUGGUUCUCCUCGAAAGCUAUUUAGGUAGCGCCUCAUGUAUCACUGUAGGGGGUAGAGCACUGUUUCGGCUAGGGGGUCAUCCCGACUUACCAAACCGAUGCAAACUCCGAAUACCUACAAGUGCCGAGCAUGGGAGACACACGGCGGGUGCUAACGUCCGUCGUGAAAAGGGAAACAACCCAGACCGUCAGCUAAGGUCCCAAAGUCAUGGUUAAGUGGGAAACGAUGUGGGAAGGCUUAGACAGCUAGGAGGUUGGCUUAGAAGCAGCCACCCUUUAAAGAAAGCGUAAUAGCUCACUAGUCGAGUCGGCCUGCGCGGAAGAUGUAACGGGGCUCAAACCAUGCACCGAAGCUACGGGUAUCAUCUUUUGAUGAUGCGGUAGAGGAGCGUUCUGUAAGCCUGUGAAGGUGAGUUGAGAAGCUUGCUGGAGGUAUCAGAAGUGCGAAUGCUGACAUGAGUAACGACAAUGGGUGUGAAAAACACCCACGCCGAAAGACCAAGGUUUCCUGCGCAACGUUAAUCGACGCAGGGUUAGUCGGUCCCUAAGGCGAGGCUGAAAAGCGUAGUCGAUGGAAAACAGGUUAAUAUUCCUGUACUUCUGGUUAUUGCGAUGGAGGGACGGAGAAGGCUAGGCCAGCCUGGCGUUGGUAGUCCAGGUUUAAGGUGGUAGGCUGAGAUCUUAGGUAAAUCCGGGAUCUUAAGGCCGAGAGCUGAUGACGAGUGUUCUUUUAGAACAUGAAGUGGUUGAUGCCAUGCUUCCAAGAAAAGCUUCUAAGCUUCAGGUAACCAGGAACCGUACCCCAAACCGACACAGGUGGUUGGGUAGAGAAUACCAAGGCGCUUGAGAGAACUCGGGUGAAGGAACUAGGCAAAAUGGCACCGUAACUUCGGGAGAAGGUGCGCCGGUGAGGGUGAAGCAUUUACUGCGUAAGCCCACGCCGGUCGAAGAUACCAGGCCGCUGCGACUGUUUAUUAAAAACACAGCACUCUGCAAACACGAAAGUGGACGUAUAGGGUGUGACGCCUGCCCGGUGCCGGAAGGUUAAUUGAUGGGGUUAGCGCAAGCGAAGCUCUUGAUCGAAGCCCCGGUAAACGGCGGCCGUAACUAUAACGGUCCUAAGGUAGCGAAAUUCCUUGUCGGGUAAGUUCCGACCUGCACGAAUGGCGUAACGAUGGCGGCGCUGUCUCCACCCGAGACUCAGUGAAAUUGAAAUCGCUGUGAAGAUGCAGUGUAUCCGCGGCUAGACGGAAAGACCCCGUGAACCUUUACUAUAGCUUUGCACUGGACUUUGAAUUUGCUUGUGUAGGAUAGGUGGGAGGCUUUGAAGCGUGGACGCCAGUCUGCGUGGAGCCAACCUUGAAAUACCACCCUGGCAACUUUGAGGUUCUAACUCAGGUCCGUUAUCCGGAUCGAGGACAGUGUAUGGUGGGUAGUUUGACUGGGGCGGUCUCCUCCUAAAGAGUAACGGAGGAGUACGAAGGUGCGCUCAGACCGGUCGGAAAUCGGUCGUAGAGUAUAAAGGCAAAAGCGCGCUUGACUGCGAGACAGACACGUCGAGCAGGUACGAAAGUAGGUCUUAGUGAUCCGGUGGUUCUGUAUGGAAGGGCCAUCGCUCAACGGAUAAAAGGUACUCCGGGGAUAACAGGCUGAUACCGCCCAAGAGUUCAUAUCGACGGCGGUGUUUGGCACCUCGAUGUCGGCUCAUCACAUCCUGGGGCUGAAGCCGGUCCCAAGGGUAUGGCUGUUCGCCAUUUAAAGUGGUACGCGAGCUGGGUUUAGAACGUCGUGAGACAGUUCGGUCCCUAUCUGCCGUGGACGUUUGAGAUUUGAGAGGGGCUGCUCCUAGUACGAGAGGACCGGAGUGGACGAACCUCUGGUGUUCCGGUUGUCACGCCAGUGGCAUUGCCGGGUAGCUAUGUUCGGAAAAGAUAACCGCUGAAAGCAUCUAAGCGGGAAACUUGCCUCAAGAUGAGAUCUCACUGGAACCUUGAGUUCCCUGAAGGGCCGUCGAAGACUACGACGUUGAUAGGUUGGGUGUGUAAGCGCUGUGAGGCGUUGAGCUAACCAAUACUAAUUGCCCGUGAGGCUUGACCAUAUAACACCCAAGCAAUU